CCUAUGGGUGGCUGCAGUGGGGAAUAUUGCACAAUGGGCGCAAGCCUGAUGCAGCCAUGCCGCGUGUGUGAAGAAGGCCUUCGGGUUGUAAAGCACUUUCAGCGGGGAGGAAGGCGGUGAGGUUAAUAACCUCAUCGAUUGACGUUACCCGCAGAAGAAGCACCGGCUAACUCCGUGCCAGCAGCCGCGGUAAUACGGAGGGUGCAAGCGUUAAUCGGAAUUACUGGGCGUAAAGCGCACGCAGGCGGUCUGUCAAGUCGGAUGUGAAAUCCCCGGGCUCAACCUGGGAACUGCAUUCGAAACUGGCAGGCUAGAGUCUUGUAGAGGGGGGUAGAAUUCCAGGUGUAGCGGUGAAAUGCGUAGAGAUCUGGAGGAAUACCGGUGGCGAAGGCGGCCCCCUGGACAAAGACUGACGCUCAGGUGCGAAAGCGUGGGGAGCAAACGGGAUUAGAUACCCCAGUAGUC
rnacentral:rRNA from 1 species